AUGGUGUCGAAUGCCGUGCCAUGGGUCAUGACGGUGGCUGCUAGCACAAUAGACAGAUCAUUCCCAACCCAAGUGACGCUCGGGAACAAUGAAAAGUUGGUGGGGCAAUCUCUUCACUACAACACAUCCGUGACCAGCAACGACUUUAAGGCCCUCGUUCAUGCGAGGAGCUGUGACAUGGAGACACUAGCUUCGAGCAAUGUCACAGGAAAAAUAGUAUUGUGCUAUGCACCAGAGGUGGCCUUUCUCACCUCGCCUCGGGUGGCACUUCGCAAUGCCAUCAACCGUACCUUGGAGGCCGGUGCUAAGGGCCUCAUUUUCGCACAGUACGCCAUCAAUAAUGUCAACAAUGUGGCCGCGUGCCACAACAUUAUGCCUUGUGUUCUCGUGGAUUUUGAGAUAGCACAUAGAAUUGCUUCAUAUUGGGAUAUGACAGGGAGUCCAGUGGUGAAGGUGUGA
rnacentral:rRNA from 1 species